rnacentral:piRNA from 1 species
UACAACAGUUUGAACCAUGAUAGGACCUUA